rnacentral:lncRNA from 9 species
UUUUUCUUUUGGUCAUAUGCAUGUGGAUUUACUUUUGAAAGUUACCUUUACUCCACUGUUUUGGUGUAAUUGUCAAUCAGGGUACACUGACCUCCUCUAGAGAUAAGUGUCAUUCACUUUAGGCCAUCUGAACAUCUCAACUUUGAAUCUUGAGUUAAUGGACAGAAGCAUAAAAAUCACAACCUUGUUACUUGUCAUCCACAGCAUGUUGAUAAAACUAUUACUCACUCCUGCCAUCCAGCACCCCUGAGCUGUACCUGUUCCCACUCUGCCAGACGUGGUUCCCUUCAGUCCUUUUAAUAAUUAUGGUACCAUCUCACACCCUUCUGAUAAAUUCCCUUCUAGUUAAAUUACUCAGGCUUUGUCUAUAUUGUUUGCAACUAAAGAAAACCAAUUUAUGCAUGUGCAUCAAGUUAGUGAGAUGGUAGAUGAUUUUAAGAGUAAUUAGCUCCAUAAUAUGCCUCUGCUUCCCUAGUAGUACAAACAUUAUUGUAUUAUUUAGAUUCAAGUUCUGAAAGAGCUGUUUAAGUGGAAGUUGAUACUUUGUGACACUGCAACAAGAGGUAAAAGAUGUAGUUACGAAGCAACCUCAAGCAACACCUGUAAUCUUCUGUAUAUGGAGAAAGUGAUGGAUUAAUGAGGCAGGUCUGGUGUUCCUAAAUCCUGAAGGAUUUAAAACUGGGAUUACAAACUGAAAUGUUGUUAGUGAAUGAGCACUGAUGCAAAUGAGUGAGUCAUCCAAUAUAUGCUUACUUCCGUGAAGAAAUAAUGCCCAUUUCUCUUCAGCUUUUCCUGUCUGUCUUUUCAGUUUCUACCUUGGAUAGAGACAUGUGCAGAGACAUAUUGCUGGACUCUAAGGAAAACACCAGUGACAGUUUAGUGAUGAAUGGCAACUGAAACUCACCCACUUUUCUAGGGAAACAAUGGGAUCAUAAAGACUCAAGAAACUGGAGAAUAUAUGCCCUUUACAUGAAGCAACAUUCCUGAUUUUUUUUUUUUUAAAGUGGUGAGAAUUAUUACUUUUCUUAAAUGUACAAUAAUCUGUUUUUAUAUUUUGGCAACUAAUCUAAUUUAAAAACUAAAACAAAAACAAAAACAAAAAAACAGUGCGUCAGGCCAGGAAAACAAGUAAGCAUUCUGUUCCCAAACAAUACUAGAAGCUGGGUUGUGAUAAUGAGUCUGGAUUGGAGGCAUGUAAAACAUUUACUGACCACAACACUUAAGCAAACAAAAUAUUUUUACAAAGUAAAAUCAUAAGCUAGAACAAGCCAAGCCAGUCAUGGAAUAAAUCUCUGGGGGUAGCCUGGUGGAGCCUCCAGGGCCCAGCAAGUGAUGAACAGUAUGCAGAGAGAGGAACACUCUUCUAGUGCUGGCAGCUCUGGAGGGCAUUUUGAUGCACUUUGCUAGGCCAAAUAAGUGAAUCAUGUCUGCGUCAGGAAGUGGUUUGAUUACCUCAUUAUGUAUACAUUACAAAUAAUUUUUUUUUCUUUAUAGGGCCACACCUGCAGCAUAUGGAGGUUCGUUAACCACUGAGACACGACGGGAACUCCAGAAAUCAAAAAUUUUAAAGUAAAUAUUGAUAUUCCAAAUUUAUGAACUUAUUCCUCCCAGGGCUUGGAGUGCUUGAAGCUAAAAGAAAAGAAUGCUGUAUCCAUGUCAAGUUGUAUUUAGACUACUGCAUUUUACAACAUGGGUUACCUGGAAAAAUGAACCAUUGUUUUGCCACUGAGCAUCUUCAAAGAAGAGAAUAAGAUUGACAUCACUGUUCACAUCCAUUAGUCAAACUACAGUUGCUUUGGACAGGUAGUUUCCAGAAUGCAUCAGUCUCAUUUACACCCAACAGAAGGAACAUACAGUGUGCCUUUUUUUUUUUUUUUUUUUUUUGCUGUGACAUGAGGAUCCCAGAUACUAAGGCAGAAAGUGGUUUUUGACACAAAAUGCUUUUAGGAAAAAGACUGGAAGUAGGAGGUGAAAUGAAGAGUAAAUUUUCUGUAUGCUAAUGAUUAUAGAGAAAAAAGGAACAAUCCAAUUGUACUUAGGGGCUAGACCAAAAUAAUUGAGCAAACAAAAUAAUACAGCAGGAAAUCAACGGAUCUGAUAAACAGUGAAACAGUGAUUUUCCCCAAAGAAAUGCCACAUAGCUCUAAGUGUGUCUAAGAAUGUAGAAGAUUUUUCUAAUUCUUGGAAGUUUUUGUUCUAAUAAAUGCCACUAUACUAUUUACCAAUUUUAAGUUGUUCAUUUCUUGUACCCCAGGCAUUCUGC